UACGGAGGGGGCAAGCGUUAUUCGGAAUUAUUGGGCGUAAAGGGCGCGUAGGCGGCUAGAUGUGUCAAAGGUGAAAUCCCUCGGCUCAACUGAGGAACUGCCUUUGAUACUGAGGAUCUUGAGUUCGGGAGAGGUGAGUGGAACUGCGAGUGUAGAGGUGAAAUUCGUAGAUAUUCGCAAGAACACCAGUGGCGAAGGCGGCUCACUGGCCCGAUACUGACGCUGAGGCACGAAAGCGUGGGGAGCAAACAGG
rnacentral:rRNA from 1 species